ensembl:snoRNA
GCAUGGGUUUGGAUUUAUGACAGGCCCAUCCCCCGGACCUCUCAUAGUGCCCCAUGCCAGAGCAAACUGGCCCCGAACCAUUGCCUGGCUUCUGUUCCCGUGGGCCACUGGCACUGAAGAGGGUUACACAGUG